GAUGAACGCUGGCGGCGUGCCUAAUACAUGCAAGUCGAGCGAACAGACGAGGAGCUUGCUCCUCUGACGUUAGCGGCGGACGGGUGAGUAACACGUGGAUAACCUACCUAUAAGACUGGGAUAACUUCGGGAAACCGGAGCUAAUACCGGAUAAUAUAUUGAACCGCAUGGUUCAAUAGUGAAAGACGGUUUUGCUGUCACUUAUAGAUGGAUCCGCGCCGCAUUAGCUAGUUGGUAAGGUAACGGCUUACCAAGGCAACGAUGCGUAGCCGACCUGAGAGGGGGAUCGGCCACACUGGAACUGGGAAACGGUCCAGACUCCUACGGGAGGCAGCAGUGGGGAAUCUUCCGCAAUGGGCGAAAGCCUGACGGAGCAACGCCGGGUGGGUUAUGAAGGUCUUCGGAUCGUAAAACUCUGUUAUUAGGGAAGAAAAAAUGUGUAAGUAACUAUGCACGUCUUGACGGUACCUAAUCAGAAAGCCACGGCUAACUACGU
rnacentral:rRNA from 1 species